CGGAAAGAAAGAAGCAAGCCGAGGAGGUGGCUGUGCUGGACCCUAGGACACAGCUGUCCAAUCUGCGUGUCAGCUGUGGCCCUGCCACUGACUUGAAAUUGUUGAAAACCUCACUUUCCCACUGACAUGCCUUGGCUUUUCUCUUUUACUUAAGGAAGUUGUGCUAACUAUUGAAAUUCAAUGGAAGCAAUAAGUAUUUUUGAGCAUCUCCUAGGUGCCAGGCUCUGGGCUAAGCCUUGGGAAUAGGACAGGAAUCACAUGAUCCCUGCUGUCACAGAUCCCAGGCUGCUACAAGUCAACUCUUACACAGGGUGGGACGAUGCCACGAGUGUUCAGAACAGGAAGUACAAGCUCCUUGGGGAGCAUGCAACAUAGGGUUUCCCCUAACUGAGGGUCGGGGGAUAGGAAGGCCUCUGUCCUCUCCAGAAAGUGACGUUGAAAUAGAAACCUUAAAGAUAUUUAGAGGUUACUCAAAGGGAAGAGGGUGAGGAAGACACUUGUCUCAGGGAAGUAAAUGUUCAAAGGCCUUUGGAUGGGAAAGAGGAACUGAUAGAAAUCGGGAAGGGCUGACGUGUUAGAGAAACAGAUCACCGAGGUCUCUGCUCUGUGAUUCUUUGUCUUUCAUGUGAUGUGCAGAGGAACAUUUGGUGUUCUCUCUUCAUUUUGGUGGAGACGGAAAGGGUUGGGAGGGUGUUUACUAGAGUUGCUGCUUUUUACAGUGUUUUCCUAUGGAUCCCCCCAGAGGACAAGCAAUGUUAUUGGAGUGUCUUUUCGGAGGCUUCUUGACAGCCCAGAGGAAGAUGUGGGUGCUUCCUCUUUUGGCUCCUGAAGCACCUUGAAAAUGUCUGUUUCAAUACCUGCUGGGUUCAAUACCUAAGGGUCAGUUGACUCACCUGCCUUUUUUACUACCCAUGAGCGAUGCCUAGAGAGGAAGAAAGAAGUAAACAGGCAGUAAGAAAGCUACUUGGUAUUAAGAAGGAAAGUCACAUGAUCAGAUUCCAAACUUAGGAAAAGAAGGCAGCAAUGUAGAGUAUGAGAAGGAAGCAGAGAGAUCAGUUGGGAGGCCAUUGCAUAAAUCACAAGCACCAUCGUAAUGCCUAGUUGUGGGCUUGUGUCUGAGGGCGCACACCAGCUCUAUUUCCCGUCUCUUCUUUCUUAAACAUCCUCCUCUUGUUCAGACAGAAAAGCCAUACCUCUUACCCACCUUCAACCUUACUAGAGUAUAUUGCUCCAAGGCAUAAAAAUCUUUAUUUGGGAUGCCAAAUAAAGAGAUCUUUUGAAAUAAGAGUGACAAGCCUUCUUUUUAAAUUUUAUUUUUUAUAUCACUCUAUAAUUGACUUUUUUUUACUGUUCUGUAAGUCUUAAUACAACAGGAUUCAUGUAAUUAUCACCACAAUCAGAAUAAAGAAUGGUUACAUCGCGUCAAACAUUCCCUAGUGCUACCUCUUUAUAGCCACACCCUUCCCCUGCUACCUGCCAAUCACAAAUCUGUUCUUCAUCAGUCCAGAUUUGUAUUUUUGAAGAUGUCUUAUAAAUGGAAUCAUUCAAUAUGUAAUUUUUGAAACUGGCUUCUUUCAGUAUAAUGCCUUCGAGAUUCAUCCAAGCCACUGCAUGUAUCAAUAAUUCUUAUUGCUGAGUAGUAUUGCGUUAUAUGGAUGUACCACAGUUUGUUUAUCCCAUGGAAUAGUACUCAGCAAUAAAAAGGAAUGAAUUAUUAAUACAUGCAACAAUAUCCAGGAGUGGCACUGUUGAGUUUAUGGUAGGUGUAUGUUUAACUUUAUAACAAACCAUCAAACUGUUUUCCAGAGAGGCUGGACUAUUUCGCAUUUCCACUAAUGAUAUAUGAGAAUCCUAGUUACUCUGCCCAGAAGUCCAGUGUACCAUCCAUUGUGCCACAGAGCCAGGAAGAGAGUUCCAUUUACUCUGCAUCAUCACCAGCACUUGGUAUUGUCAGUACUCUUAAUUUUAACAGUCCUAAUAAA
rnacentral:lncRNA from 1 species